UACGGGGGGGGCAAGCGUUGUUCGGAAUUACUGGGCGUAAAGGGUGCGUAGGCGGCUUUCUGAGUCGGAUGUGAAAACUAUGGGCUCAACCCAUAGCCUGCAUCCAAAACUGGAGAGCUUGGGUUCUGGAGGGGAAAGCGGAAUUCCUGGUGUAGCGGUGAAAUGCGUAGAUAUCAGGAGGAACACCGGUGGCGAAGGCGGCUUUCUGGACAGAUACCGACGCUGAGGCACGAAAGCUAGGGGAGCAAACAGG
rnacentral:rRNA from 1 species